GAGUCUGUACCUCUUCAUUGGAAAUAUCCCAGUGAUAGCACUAUCUUCAGAAACACUUACAGCCUCAGAUACAUUUGUUUGUUGUCUAGCGGAGCCCAACCUUUUUCCUUCACGCCCUUUAGUUGGGAGGCCAUGCAGCUUCCAACAUUGUUUUUUGGUGUGCCAGGAUUUCCUACGGUGGUCACAAUGCAAGUGAUCCUUGUCCGAUGGACCAUGUGACUGUUCUCGUGAGGAGUUAGCAGUCAGCCCAGCCU
rnacentral:misc_RNA from 1 species